UCUCUUUUGCAUCAUCAUUAAACCAUUAUUUUUGGAUACAAAUGGUUCAUCUCUCCGGUCUUGACGAGGAGGCAGCGGGAUCGGCAAGAAGAAUUGGCAGAGCAAGUGUAUAGUUUUACAAGGAAAGAUGUGGAUGCACCUCCAGGGACUCAGAAGAGCUGAAUGUAACCAAGAUAUUUUUUUAAGUGUAUAUAGACAGUUCUUCUGGUAAUAAAUAUUUAAUUAAAA